AAAAAAAAAAAAAAAAAAACUCACUCUAAUGAUGACCUCACAUGUCAGGAGAUUUCUCAACUAAUACAUAUGUACAUUCAAGAUAUUGGUCUUGUACAUGCAUAAGUCAUUUCUCAUAAUCAAAUGGCAUAAUCAAUUUUCCCCCCAUGAGAACUACUUUCUCUGGGAUGUUUAGAUUUGUAUUAUCUGUCAAACUGCCAUAGACUCUUUAUGUGUGACCACUUCUGUUCUUGUCUUGCUCAAUUUC
rnacentral:misc_RNA from 1 species